rnacentral:rRNA from 1 species
UACGGAGGGUGCAAACGUCGCUCGGAAUCAUUGGGCGUAAAGCGCACGUAGGCGGCCGGAUAAGUCGGGGGUGAAAGCCCUGGGCUCAACCCAGGAAGUGCACUCGAAACUGUCAGGCUUGAAUAUGGAAGAGGGUCGCGGAAUUCCCGGUGUAGAGGUGAAAUUCGUAGAUAUCGGGAGGAACACCAGUGGCGAAGGCGGCGACCUGGGCCAAUAUUGACGCUGAGGUGCGAAAGCGUGGGGAGCAAACAGG